rnacentral:lncRNA from 1 species
CAAAUUACCAUUCUAUUAAGCAAACAAUACAAUAACAGCCUAAUCAAAAAACUAGAACAAAAUAUCAUCAUUCGCCCACACAAAAAGAAAACCAUCUCCCUCAAUAUCUCACCAUCAGAAAAAAAUUUAGAACAUUUAUACAACAGACCACUUAUAAAAGAGACAGUUCAAGAUUGUAGUCUCAACAAAACAGUUAGUAAAAUCAGAUAGGAAAUCAGGUUGAAAUUUGGUUUAGGCACUGUACUCCAGUUAUUGUACUUCAGAAAUUUAAAAUCAAAUUCAUCAACUAAAGAGAAACAAGAAGAUGACGACCAAAUCAAUUAUCGAUAGUACCUCUACGGCUCCAGAAGGUGGUCAGAUUGAUAUGUUCUGAUUGCUUUCUCCAGUCUCAGAAACCAAAAAAACAUAUGAUGUUAACAGGCUAAUGAUACAGCGGAUUUAGGAAUUCAUGAUGGAUUCAUAAAAUUUGAAUUAAAAAAAAUCCGGUAACUGUACAAUAACUUAGGGCACUUGAGAAUUCGUGAUGUAUUUACAAAGCUUGAAUGAAAAUUAAAAAAUAUCUGGCAACAGGACAAUAACUUAAAACAUAUAGGAAUCCAUAAUGGAUUCCCAAAAUUUGGAUGAAAACAAAUCCAGUAAUAGAGUAUUAAAGACUUGCAAGGCUGAAACCCAAAGAUGAUAACAAUGUAAUCCCCCUAGUCCUCAUGAAACACCACAAGCUUGCAAAACCAACAAUGCAAAUUCUUAAGCGCAACAGCAUGAUAUAUAGACAAUACUAUUUCAACUAUCUUCCUCCGCAUCAAGGAGAACAGUUACAGAACAUACAUAGCUUACGCUACCGAAAAUUCUAUAAAAUUUUAUAUAGCAUAAAUGAUUGACAAUCACAAAGGUAAACAUUGCUAAUGUUCCUGCGAUCACUUGAAUGAAGAGAAUCAAGAUACGCUUCCUUCUCUGUGCACGGUAGAUAGCAGAUGGUGAUGAUUGUGAAGAAUGGAAAUUUAAAUCCUAUGGGGAAGGGAAGGGAGGAGGAAAACAGGUGAUAAAAAGGGAGUCUGGGUGAUAUCAUUAUUACCCAUACAAGCCUCCUAAAAAACCAGAAAUAAUUUUAUUGAAAUCUUUAAGACCAGCCAAGCAAGCGCACCCAACAUGGCAAAGGUCAUUACAAUUACAAAAGGACUGAACAUUUUCAUUCUAAUCACCAAAACAAAAGACUUCACAUGACAACCAGAAACAAGUAACUCAAAAAUAGCAAAAGCUUCAUCAGACCAAAAGACUGCAUUUCUUCAUCACCUCAUGCCACAGGGAAAAAAGGCACCAUUCAGAAAACAGCUCCC